AAUCCAGCAUUCCAACCAGGAAGUGCAAAGAACAGCCCCAGAUGCACACAACCACGCAUAAGUCAACCAACUUUCCUCGAGUCAUCCACUGCUCUGGCCUGCAAACCUCUCUAUUCUCCAGCUAUGCCCUCUAGACAAGCACCAUUGCCUCCAAAGAAUGUACCACAAACUAGGACAGAACAGAUUGUGAAACCUUCCAUCCCACCUCCUGGUAUUUCCAGAAACAUUCAUCCUGUUCAGGU